rnacentral:sRNA from 1 species
UUGAGCGUUAAGGGGGAGUAGCUGCCCUUUGGGGUGGUAAAGUCAACAUACUGGCAUAUUUGCCUGGCUUUACCUGAUUAUGUCAAGUGAGACCUUUAACACAGUGGGUUCCAUUGUGUUAAAGGUCUUUUGUUUUACAAAAAUU